CACUAUGCCUAGCCAUAAACAUUGAUAGUAAACUACACCUACUAUCCGCCCGGGAACUACGAGCAUCAGCUUGAAACCCAAAGGACUUGGCGGUGCUUUAGAUCCACCUAGAGGAGCCUGUUCUAGAACCGAUUACCCCCGUUCAACCUCACCUUUCCUUGUUUUUUCCGCCUAUAUACCACCGUCGUCAGCUUACCCUAUGAAGGACUUAUAGUAAGCAAGAUUGGCACAGCCCAAAACGUCAGGUCGAGGUGUAGCGUAUGGAAAGGGAAGAAAUGGGCUACAUUCCCUAAUACAGUGAAAUACGAACGAUACACUGAAAUACGUAUCUGAAGGAGGAUUUAGCAGUAAGCAGAAAAUAGAGCGUUCCGCUGAAACCGGCCCUGAAGCGCGCACACACCGCCCGUCACUCUCCCCAAGCUUAAUAACCCUUAGUACCUAAAACCUAAAAACUGCAAAGGGGAGGCAAGUCGUAA
rnacentral:rRNA from 1 species